rnacentral:lncRNA from 1 species
UUUACUAGGAAGUACCUGAUGUUUCCGUUUCUAGAUCCUAUGAUUGCAUCCGGUUGCUUAGGAAGACAUUCAAUGAAUCAGUGCGUAAAUGCUCCGCUGUGCUCAUCAUUCCUUCCUUCCUUUUCUUCAUCACGAGGUAAGAAAACGGAGCCUCAGAGAGGGGAGGUGACAUGCUCAAAGUCAUUGGAGCUACGGUGAGAGCUGGGAUUCCGCCCCUGAUGGUCUCAUGGGGUCAUGCGGACGAAGCUACAUAGUUCAGGAGGGACACUCUCCUCCUGCUUUACCAACUGCUCCCUCUUCUGAGCAUGCUCACAGACCUUCCAGCCACCCUGGGCCCUCCCUUUCACCAUGUGGCCUCCAUGAAGGUAUCUGCCAUGAUGGCUCCAUGAGCAUUCCCAACUUGGACUUGAGCUUUACACUGGACACCAUCACCUGGAUGUCCACAGGCCUGACCGUGCCCUUCCCACCGCCUCCCUUCCCAUACUUGCUCCUCUUUCUUUGGAUCUCAGCCUUCUCCACAUCUCAGCACUGCCACCUACACCCCGAGCCUGAAGCCUGGGAGUUCAGGUUGGGUAUCUUGUUCUUUCUUGCCGCCACAUCCGUACGCCCAUCGGGUCUUGCCCAGAUUC